UGAAGGCUUAGUUUUCCUUUACUGAGUUCUGUUACGAAGUUUCCUUUCGUUUUGGUGAGUGCCUUUUUGAGAAUGUUUUGUAUAUUCACCUUUGGAAAUACUGAUUUUGGAUAUUGUUACUAGACUGAGUUUUUCCAUGAAGCACAUUAUUUUGCUUUCCCAGCUCUAAAACCUACAUUUUUCCUCUGCUUCCAUGUGAAAAAUUCAGUCAUUCCUUGAACAGCUGAAAUCAUUCUUCAGGGAAAGGAAGAUUCCGUUAGGUGUAUACAUCUUGAUUCUUUGCCUUGAUAUUAUUCCUCUAUUUGAGUCCAGCAUGCAUUCAUAAUCGUCAUCAACUGAUCAUCAUGUGGCUUGAAUUGAAUCCAAACUUUUCUGUUCCCUACAUAAAUUGAAAACUAAACGAGUCUGAGUUGACAAGGUUCUUUCUCUGUGUCAG
rnacentral:lncRNA from 1 species